rnacentral:rRNA from 1 species
UACAGAGGGGGCAAGCGUUGUUCGGAAUUACUGGGCGUAAAGGGCGCGUAGGCGGCCUGCUAAGUCGAACGUGAAAUCCCUGGGCUCAACCCAGGAACUGCGUCCGAUACUGGUUGGCUUGAAUCCGGGAGAGGGACGUGGAAUUCCUGGUGUAGCGGUGAAAUGCGCAGAUAUCAGGAGGAACACCGGUGGCGAAGGCGGGUCUCUGGGCCGAUACUGACGCUGAGGAGCGAAAGCGUGGGGAGCGAACAGG